CCCAGGUGGUUCUGGUUUGUGAUUGAUUCCUUCAUGGCAGCCUGCUGCCCCUGGGUUCUCCUUUUUCAAUAAGUCCAGACCUUUUUCUUGAUAUGUGUUUUGCAGCAAAUAAUUUGCUGCAAAAAUGUUUGCAGCCUGAACACCAGGGUCUAGCGGAUGAUCUAAAGUGUUGUUAUUGUCCUCUGUGUCGUCAUUGGCCAGUGGGUUGCGGCUGAUGACCAGCUCCAGUCUGUCUCCAGCCUCUGUGAUCAGCGGCACUGCCAGGCAGCAGUCGAAGUCCCUCGUCCUCACAUGGUUUACCUGAACAAAGACGGAGAGAUUCAGACAAUGGCUGCUAUGGAUCCUGUCGUAGGGUCUGAGCCCAGCUCGGUCAGCUGGACCAUCAGGUCUGAUCAUGUUGACAUAAACUCCUUUCUCCAAGAAGCCGUCUGACACACUGAAGCCAAAGUCGUCAAUCUCUGGGUCCUUUACCACUGUUACCUAUAGACAACAAGGAUGUGAUGUUGGCGAAACUGAAGCUUCAUAUUUCAACUCAAUUUAGUUUAAUCUGAGUUUAAACAUGAACGGAAAGCAGUGGCUGGCUGUUUGUUUAUUUUUUUGUUUUUUUUAACCUUAAUCCUUUACUCCUAUGUCAAACAUGUUUGGUCAGCACAGGUUAUCUUGAGGGUCUCUAACACACCAGGGUGAACACAAAGUUAUUACUAACCAACAGGUGUCACAUCAAAUGAUCUAAUGUUCUGUUUAAAAGUUGCCCUUGGAAAAGACUAUAAAGACAACAGCUGAUCACCAGCAUGAAAGGAAAUGAUCGGUCAGUAGUCCUAAUCCAAAAGACACAAAAUAAUUAGCCAACCACUCCCUAUGUCAUCGUGAAUCUUAUUAAACAGUCUCAUCAUAUUCUCAGAGUACGUCUGACAAAAGUUGCAUCUGGGAGUGUAGAGUUUUACUUUAGCAUUGCCUGCCAUUGGUCUCACUUGUGGAAGAAGUUAAAAUAAAGACAGACAGCUCUUUCUCACAGAUUUAUGCUGAACUGCCUAAAAUGGCUUCUGGUGCACCGCAAAAGAUACACGCUAUGAUCGGCCACAGACACCAAAUGUUGGCAUGGUGUGUCAGGGCCCAUGAAAUGGAGUUUGGACAUUAAGCCAGCUGUUUGGGACAUUAAACCAAUUUCGGAGAUAUAGCAAGCAUUAUGAUUGUACAUUUUUUAAAGAACACUGACAGAAAAAUCCACCUUUUUUCUUGAUAUUUAGCCAAAAUGGAUAAUGGGGUUUCUGUAUUGUUCUUUUAGGCUGACAGAGCAUACAGGGAAUGGUAUUUAAUUGAUUUAAAAGCAUUAAAGUCUUGUGUUACCACUGUGGUUCUACUGUAUAGGAUAUACUGUACAAUGUUCACCCAUGCUUUACUGAUGCACGAUUAAAUCUAGGAUAAAUGAUUCACAGGCCACUCCGCAACCACUGUUAUGCACAGUUUCAUUGCAGGAUAAAUGCAAGAUGGAGGUUUUUACAGUUGUUAAUCAACAGUUCUUUUCUGGCCUGCAUUAACAAAACUGAAAAAAGGCAACACUGUAUGACAAAUGAAUAUUGUAUGAUAUUUUAAUGAGACACCAGUUAGAGGCUGUAAAUUGGCUGAUGGCCAAUGAACCCAUCAGAUUUUAAUGUAAUUUCUCCCUGUGGAUAACGUAAUGGAUAAUGUAUUUCUUAUUCUGGCCUUGGGCUGAACAAGACUGAACGGAUCUUUGUAUGAAGUCAUUAUUGUAAAUCCACAGGAGGGUGAAGACAUGUAGCCACUAGCAUAACAGUUGCCUGGGAGGCAACUGGAUGCCAUGUCUCAUGUCUGUACAUUAAGUAUGGAACAAGCGCCAGUUGGUGAUCAAAGUGGCUGAGCAUAAAGACUGGAAGCAGGGUUGAACAGCUAGCCUGGCUCUGUCCAAAGGUGAAAAAUAUGCCUACUGUUAUAGUAUAGAUACUGUUACAGCACGUAGCUCCUCCUUAAUUCACACAUUGAUGCCAUCUUAAAAAUUCUGUUGGUGUACAUAUUAAAAAAACUAGAUACAAUGUGUUACUUAGUCAAUUUUCGAGGGGCUGGUAUGCAUGGACAGAGCAUGGCUGGCUCCACGGCUGAUGCAUGAAUGGAAUCAAUCUUCUUUUCUAACCCUCAACAAGAAAGCAAAUAAGCAUAUUUCCCAAAAAUGAGGACCUAUUCUUUGAAGCCGGUGUAAGGUCGAACACAAAACAUUAAGUCACUUUUCUUUUCAACUUUACAUUUGUUCUUAGUGUUCACCCUACACUCAUGCCCACACUUUAAGCAAUCCUAUCAACAUUUAGUCUAAGUCCUUAACCAGGGCAGAAGCCACAUCAUGGCAGAGUCAUCAGACAGAGGUUUGAACUCACUUUGUGCAGCUCCAAAGGCGUUGGGGACAGAAUUCCCUGCAUCUCCUCUUUGAUUCGACGAGACUCCCACGUCCUCUCUGACACUCUCAAUGACGCCUUGGGUUUGGGCUCGUGGUGCAUGAGAGGAGAUUGGUUAUCUUGGUGGAUGUGGGCCCCCUGGUGUAGGUGGGCCUCAUGGUUGAAAUGAAUCUCCUGGUGCAGGUGGGCGUCUGGGUGGGAUGAAAGGGUUGGUUUUUAAAUAAGAUUAAUGCGUUAUUUCAAAAAGCAUGUAGUGAACAGCACUG